rnacentral:rRNA from 1 species
AGACGUCAAGUCAGCAUGGCCUUUAUGUCCGGGGCUACACACGUGCUACAAUGGCCGGUACAAACCGCCGCAAUCCCGCGAGGGGGAGCUAAUCGGAGAAAGCCGGUCUCAGUUCGGAUUGUAGGCUGCAACUCGCCUGCAUGAAGUCGGAAUCGCUAGUAAUCGCGGAUCAGCACGCCGCGGUGAAUACGUUCCCGGGCCUUGUACACACCGCCCGUCACAUCACGAAAGCUGGCUGUACUAGAAAUCGCUGAGCCAACCCGCAAGGGAGGCAGGCGCUUAAGGUAUGGUCAGUGAUUGGGGUGAAGUCGUAACAAGGUAACCGUAA